rnacentral:rRNA from 1 species
AGUGAACGCUGGCGGUAGGCCUAACACAUGCAAGUCGAACGGCAGCACAGGAGAGCUUGCUCUCUGGGUGGCGAGUGGCGGACGGGUGAGGAAUACAUCGGAAUCUACUCUGUCGUGGGGAUAACGUAGGGAAACUUACGCUAAUACCGCAUACGACCUACGGGUGAAAGCAGGGGACCUUCGGGCCUUGCUCGAUUGAAUGAGCCGAUGUCGGAUUAGCAAGUUGGCGGGGUAAAGGCCCACCAAGGCGACGAUACGUAGCUGGUCUGAGAGGAGGAUCAGCCACACUGGAACUGAGACACGGUCCAGACUCCUACGGGAGGCAGCAGUGGGGAAUAUUGGACAAUGGGCGCAAGCCUGAUCCAGCCAUACCGCGUGGGUGAAGAAGGCCUUCGGGUUGUAAAGCCCUUUUGUUGGGAAAGAAAUCCAGCUGGCUAAUACCCGGUUGGGAUGACGGUACCCAAAGAAUAAGCACCGGCUAACUUCGUGCCAGCAGCCGCCGUAA